GCCUGGGUGGCUCAGUCGGUUAGGCGUCUGACUUCAGCUCAGCUGCUGAUCUCACGGCUUGUGGGUUCGAGCCCCGCGUCAGGCU
rfam:Felis catus isolate Cinnamon breed Abyssinian chromosome D3, whole genome shotgun sequence.